rnacentral:sRNA from 1 species
UACUUUUGAGCAAAUUUUAUUUUCGAACUGCUGCUUUUAUUUUCUACAUGCUUUUCUACAUAUAAUUGGUAAAGCGCCCUCUGGCGUUUGUUGGCUGCGGCAUAAAGUUCAUCAUUUUCGGUGCAGCCUAUAAGUAUGCAGCAGAACGAAAUUUCUAAACUAUGUUAUUAAGGAUAUAAAGGAUAUAAUACUUCAUAUUGAAGGAUGCUACAAAAUAUGUUUUGGAAACACUCUAACCUUGGUUUACAGUUUGUUGUUUGCAACACGCAGUUGAAUUUUCAUUUACCUACCUCGUCCAGGAAACCCGCAGACCCGAUAUGCACAAACAUAUAUGGGAUUACCGUCGUCAUAAAGAUCAAAUUAUCUGUGACUUCUCAAUGACUUUCGGGCCAUACAGUAUGUACAUGUAUGUCGUACCCGGGAAUAAACAAUUGCAUCGGCAAUUUGAUGCCCUGUAAGUGGAUACUUAGUCCGCCACUUGGAUAUGUCAUUUGUUUGCAAUAAAUAAAAUAAAAGAGCCCGAAACGGAUCGAACGAACCGUACCGAGGAGAAAAUGGACGGAGGCGGUAAGGCUCGUAUGGAUUCUUAUUUUCAUUGAAAUUUCCAUGUGCCGGGCACGUUUGGAAAAUGAAGCAAUUAAAAGCGUUUUUGUCGCUACCUCAGUGCCUCCAGAUGGGAAAUGCACUUGAAGAAAUACUAUUUAUUUAAAGGAUACUAAAAUAGGAUACUAGGAUAUCGUUAUGU